GACGAACGCUGGCGGCGUGCUUAACACAUGCAAGUCGAACGAGUGGCGAACGGGUGAGUAACACGUGUGUGAUCUGCCUUGCACUUCGGGAUAAGCUUGGGAAACUGGGUCCAAUACCGGAUAGUGCAAGAUGAGCUCGCGGCCUAUCAGCUUGUUGGUGGGGUAAUGGCUACCAAAGAGCGACGGGUAGCCGGCCUGAGAGGGUGUACGGGCACAGUGGGACGGAGACACGGCGCAGACUCCUACGGGUGGCAGCAGUGGGGAAUAUUGCGCAAUGAGCGGAAGUCUGAUGCAGCGACGCCGGGUGGGGGAUGAAGGCCUUCGGGUUGUAAACUCCUUUCGACAGGGACGCGGUACCUGUAUAAGAAGCACCGGCUAACUACGUGCCAGCAGCCGCGGUAAUAC
rnacentral:rRNA from 1 species